rnacentral:rRNA from 1 species
GGGAUAGCCCGGGGAAACCCGGAUUAAUACCCCAUAGUACUUAUAUUCAGCAUUGGAUUUAGGUUAAACAUUUAUGGCUAUAAGAUGAGUAUGCGUCCUAUUAGUUAGUUGGUAAGGUAACGGCUUACCAAGACCGCGAUAGGUAGGGGUCCUGAGAGGGAGAUCCCCCACACUGGUACUGAGACACGGACCAG